UACGUAGGUGGCAAGCGUUAUCCGGAAUUACUGGGCGUAAAGCGCACGCAGGCGGUCUUUUAAGUUUGACGUGAAAGCUCCCGGCUUAACUGGGAGAGGUCGUUGAAGACUGGAAGACUUGAGGCAAUGAGAGGGGUGUAGAAUUCCCGGUGUAGUGGUGGAAUGCGUAGAUAUCGGGGGGAAUACCAGUGGCGAAAGCGGCACUCUAGCGUUAGCCUGACGCUCAUGUGCGAAAGCGUGGGGAGCGAACGGG
rnacentral:rRNA from 1 species